GUGAACAUCUAUCACUUCAUAGGCUUCGUUCCUACAAAGGGAGGGAGGAAAUUUGUGAAAUGGUAUAAAUAUUCUGCUAUGCUAUACAGAAGCCAGGAACAGCAAACCAUGACCUUCACUCAGCCAUACCCCUGCAUGCCUGGCUCAAAGAUCCUGUGUGUUAGCUAUUAUGGUCUCCUAUCCCUACCUUCCACCCCAUGCUUUGCUGAGUUUAUGGUUAAGAGCUUUGACAGCACCCCUUCGUUAUUGGUUCUUUUGAAGGUUAUAGACUGGACAUAUGAGGAAUUGGAAGGCCAGAGGAGAAGAACACGCCACAGGACACAAGAGCAAAGAAGGGGGGAGACUUGUCCAGAGUGCCUCAAAGGUCUUUUGUCCAAAGUGCCUGAAAGCUGGAACACUCAAGGGGAAUCUAAAGCUGCAACAUGAGAAGAAUCCUAAAGGACAAAAGGAGAUAGCUUGUGUUGACAAAAAUAGACUCCAACUCAGUGCACUUACUUGGAUACAAGUCCUGCUGGAAGCCUACAAAGAAAAUGCCUUGAUGUCUGAUCAGACUUGAAUUAUUUUGAAAGGGAGACUGAAAAGGACAGAGGUGUCUGUGCUUACUUUUAUGAUGCUAACAGGAAUGGAAACUUUUCAUAUAUGAUAACAGUUAUUUCUGGUCUUUCCUCCUCGUGAAAACUCAUUCAGAUAUAUGCACCUUAUCUCAACCCCAAUAUUAUUAAUCCUUUACUCUGCACUCAUAAGGUAGCCAAAUUGGUUACAAAUAUUUGACCCAUUUUUGUGAACUAUUUGCCUCGUGGUGCAGUGGAUAAACUGCACUACUGCAAUCAAGACUCGACUCACAACGUGAAUUCGUUUCCGGACUCAACUGGGUCAAGGUUGAUUAAAUCAGUGGCUCUUAACCUGGUCGAUAUUGCCCCCCCAGAGGACGAUUUCAUUUUUCAGAGGGGCGAUGGAACGAAAAGGGGUGAUGUGGGGGUGAAGGAACAGAAGGGGGUGAUAUGGGGCAAUGGAGCCACCGUGCCACCUCCGCCAUUUAGGAAUUCAUCAUCGGCCCCUCCCCACUGCGCCGCCAGAUCCAGAGCAUCUGGUGCUGCCAGUGGAUAUGCCACCUCCGCCAUUUAGGAAUUCAUCAUCGCCCCCUCCCCACUGCGCCACCAGAUCCAGAGCAUGCUGCCACGCCGCCACGGGGAGGGGGCGAUGAUAACUUCCUCAAUGGCUCAAGGGGGCGUUUCUUUCAAAAAGGUUAAGAACCACUGGACUAAACCAUCCAUCCUUCUGCAAUCAGUAAAUUGAGUAACCAAUGCAUUGGGAAGAGAGGUGGAGCCUGCAUAUUUAAAUUGUAAACUGCCCUGAGAGUGCUUUAAGUGCUGUGGAGAAGAAUAUAAGCAGCAGACUUUGCUUAGACUUUUUUUAACUAUAUGAACUGAGGUUGCGGUCACAGUGGCAAUUUGAAUUGAUCUGUACUCAGACUUUUAAAAACAUCAGGUUCAAUUCACAUGGUGUAUAAACUAGCUGGCCAUGUUCACAUGCACUGGAUGGAAAUCGAUUUAAUUUUGGUGAUUUAGACCAGUUUUGGCAUCUACACUGCUAAAAUUGACCAAUUUCAUUUCUGUUUUAGGAACACACUAUUCUUAAAGGUUUUGAUUAUUAUUUUUUUCAGAAUAAAAAUAAGUGAUGGAGCA
rnacentral:lncRNA from 1 species